GGCGUGUGGCGUGCCCACUGCGCCGCUGAAUGGAGGCGUCCAGGCUGUUGAUUACUCCGUGGCAUCACGGUUAACCUACUUCUGCAACAACGGCUUCAGGCUCUCCUCCAAGGAUCUCACCACCACCGUCUGCCAGCCUGACGGCACCUGGAGUAACCACAACAAGAUACCUCGCUGCCCAGUGGUGGUCUGCCCCAGUCUGGGCUCCUUCUCUCUGGACCAGGGGAAGUGGACGAUCGUCAACGGGUCCAGCUAUGAGUUCAGAACCAAGGUGGUCUUCAGCUGUAACCCGGGUUACUACCGGCUCGGUCCCGCUCACAUCCAGUGCCUGGCCAAUGGGGCGUGGAGCUGGCGGGACGAACGACCUCGAUGCAGAAUCAUUUCCUGUGGAGAGCUGCCCACUCCUCCUAAUGGGAGAAAGAUUGGAACUCAGACUACGUUUGC